rnacentral:rRNA from 1 species
CCUACGGGAGGCAGCAGUGGGGAAUUUUGCGCAAUGGGCGAAAGCCUGACGCAGCAACGCCGCGUGAGCGAAGAAGGCCUUCGGGUUGUAAAGCUCUGUCAGGGGGAAAGAAGGCACCUGGGUUAAUAGCCCAAGGGCUGACGGUACCCCCAAAGGAAGCCACGGCUAACUACGUGCCAGCAGCCGCGGUAAUACGUAGGUGGCGAGCGUUGUCCGGAAUCAUUGGGCGUAAAGAGCGCGUAGGUGGCUUGUCAGGUCUGAUGUGAAAUCCUGGGGCUCA